GGUCGAUUAACUCAGUUGGUUAGAGUGCCGUACUAAUACGAGUUCCUGUCGGGAUCACCUGCGGGGGCCAUGCGGAAGUCAUGAGUUCGAGACUCAUAUUGACCA